GGGUUGUCAUGNCAAUGGCACUGCCCGGUAGCUAAAUGCGGAAGAGAUAAGUGCUGAAAGCAUCUAAGCACGAAACUUGCCCCGAGAUGAGUUCUCCCUGAGACUAUAAGUCUCCUGAAGGAACGUUGAAGACGACGACGUUGAUAGGCCGGGUGUGUAAGCGCAGCGAUGCGUUGAGCUAACCGGUACUAAUGAACCGUGAGGCUUAACCUU
rnacentral:rRNA from 1 species